UACGUAGGGUGCGAGCGUUGUCCGGAAUUAUUGGGCGUAAAGCGCGCGUAGGCGGCUUUUGUAAGUUAGAGGUGAAAGCCCGGAGCUCAACUCCGGAAUUGCCUUUAAGACUGCAUCGCUAGAAUCAUGGAGAGGUGAGUGGAAUUCCGAGUGUAGAGGUGAAAAUUCGUAGAUAUUCGGAAGAACACCAGUGGCGAAGGCGACUCACUGGACAUGUAUUGACGCUGAGGUGCGAAAAGCGUGGGGGAGCAAACAGG
rnacentral:rRNA from 1 species